rnacentral:rRNA from 1 species
UACGUAGGUGGCAAGCGUUGUCCGGAAUUAUUGGGCGUAAAGCGCUCGCAGGUGGUUCGUUGCGUCGUGCGUGAAAGACCCCGGCUCAACUGGGGAGGGUCGUGCGAUACGGGCGGACUGGAGGCCAGUAGGGGGAUGCGGAAUUCCGGGUGUAGUGGUGGAAUGCGUAGAGAUCCGGAGGAACACCAGCGGCGAAGGCGGCAUCCUGGACUGGUCCUGACACUCAGGAGCGAAAGCGUGGGGAGCGAUCCGG